rnacentral:tRNA from 1 species
UAUAUUUUGAUGUAUGAUGCAUGUAAAUUUUUGAAAUUUAUUGAUAUAGUUUAACUCUAUAAGGUAUAA